CAGCCGCCACGGGAAUACGUAGGUGGCAAGCGUUGUCCGGAAUUAUUGGGCGUAAAGGGCUCGCAGGCGGUUUCUUAAGUCUGAUGUGAAAGCCCCCGGCUCAACCGGGGAGGGUCGUUGGAAACUGGGAAACUUGAGUGCAGAAGAGGAGAGUGGAAUUCCACGUGUAGCGGUGAAAUGCGUAGAGAUGUGGAGGAACACCAGUGGCGAAGGCGACUCUCUGGUCUGUAACUGACGCUGAGGAGCGAAAGCGUGGGGAGCGAACAGGAUUAGAUACCCCUGUAGUCCCUGUCUCUUAUAC
rnacentral:rRNA from 1 species